rnacentral:rRNA from 1 species
UACGAAGGGGGCUAGCGUUGUUCGGAAUUACCGGGCGUAAAGCGCGCGCAGGCGGUUCUUUAAGUCAGGGGUGAAAGCCCAGAGCUCAACUCUGGAAUUGCCUUUGAAACUAGAGAACUUGGGUACGGGAGAGGUGAGUGGAAUUCCGAGUGUAGAGGUGAAAUUCGUAGAUAUUCGGAAGAACACCAGUGGCGAAGGCGGCUCACUGGCCCGUUACCGACGCUCAGGCGCGGCAGCGUGGGGAGCAAACAGG